GCCUCCUGAAAAAUUAUAGGAGGUCCAGCCUGCCCAGUGAUAAAAUUAAACGGCCGCGGUACCCUAACCGUGCGAAGGUAGCGCAAUCACUUGUUCUUUAAAUGAGGACUAGUAUGAACGGCAUCACGAGGAUUAUACUGUCUCCCCCCUUUAAUCAGUGAAACUGAUCCCCCCGUGAAGAAGCGGGAAUAAACAUAUAAGACGAGAAGACCCUAUGGAGCUUUAAACUCAACACCACUUAUCUAAAACACUCCAUAAUAAACAGAUAAGCUUGUGAACGUUUUAGGUUGGGGUGACCACGGAGUAAAAUUUAACCUCCAUGUUGAAAGGCCUUUAUCCUUAUCCAAGAGCAACAUCUCCAAGAAUCAACAAAUUGACAUUUAUUGACCCAAAUAUUUUUGAUCAACGAACCAAGUUACCCUAGGGAUAACAGCGCAAUCCAUUUCAAGAGCUCAUAUCGACAAAUGGGUUUACGACCUCGAUGUUGGAUCAGGGUAUCCCAGUGGUGCAGCCGCUACUA
rnacentral:rRNA from 1 species